AACUCCACCAGCACAGCAGCAAAGGCAAAGAGCCUCCUUGUGGGUGGAUUGGUGGAUGUUCAGAUCAUUCCUCUGAGGACACAGCAGGAGGCCCUCAGGAGAAGGGGAAAAGGAGGAUGAACCAACUCUCCUGAGCAGGCGGGAAUCUCCCCAGGGGGCGAGGGGCGGAGGUGGCAGCUGAGGGACAGAUCUAUGAAGGUGAAGCUGAAGUUCUUGCUUUACACAGUCGUUUCACAGCUGGUUGAAAACUUCUCCCUACCAGGCCUAGAACACACUCUGAUGGUGUGUCACCUUCAGGCACCUCACUCGCCCGAGCUGAGACACCUCAAUGCCUCAGAUUCCUCUUCUUGCCCUCAGCCACCUGACAUUUACUGACCAAGGCAAGUUGCACAGUGAAAUAUAACUUGGAGAGAAAUAUGAGAAAUCAGUGUGGAAGUAUCUGGGGUUUGGGUUUUGUUUUGUUUUCCAUAACCCAAACCAUUGGGCACCACUGAGAACAAUCCAAUUUCUUUUCAUUAAUGCAAACUUCCCUUUUUUCUGAGAGAAGCAGCCAACAGGAAGUCUUCCCUCACCUCUCCACACAACUUUCACUUAACCCCUUAUCUUAUCAGCUCUAAAAUGAGGUUGCAAAACAGCAGUUCACCGUUGUACCUCCGAUAACACAAACCACCAACACUCUCCCGAUUCACCAAGUCAUGGGUCGUUCACGGCCAGUGUCGGGGCAGUUCAUGACCCCAAUCCUGCGAGUUCAGGUCCUUCCUGGUUAUGAAUUGCUGGGGCUUUAAAAGUUGGUGAUAACCUCUCAUUAAAGUUUAUAAGUUCAUAAUUAGGUGGCAGGGCAGGUGCCUUUGGAUGGAUUUCCCUUCUGCAGGGCAUUCAGGGCUCUACAUCCCUGGUGGACCUCUCUUGUCCCAGCUUUCUGCCCUUCCCAGGAACCUGUCCUCCAAAAGGAGCAGCUCUAACACCCACACUAUCUCCACAUUGGUAGUUCACAACAUGGAUUGACUCAAUGGGAAUUUUCAAACAGCUCAGAGGAAGGAGAUGCAUGGAAAACACACCAGUUGCUCAGAACCCCUGACAAGCUGUUGAAGGAAAACCAGAAGGUUUAUACCCAAAAGCUGGGUAUCAAGAAAUAGCUGUGAAAACCUCAGUUUUGCAUUCACCAAAUAGACUAUUGUGGGUUAUUUCUUCCCAUUUCAACGUGACUUGUAUGUUCUACGACGCCAAACAGGAAUAACUUAACAGACAAUUUGGGAACUAAAUAGUAUGAAAGUACAACCAAAGCAAAUUAACUGACGUUGCAGAGCCUGGAGUUAAAACCCAAAUAUGACUCCCAGAGCGUGGCCUUCGGGUUUUUGGUCAGAUUACAGAAAUAUAUGUCAGAUUCCAUUAAAAUGAAAUCCAAACUGG